UAACAAAAAGGCUUUUAAUGAUCCACGGGAGAGAAAAGGGCACAUCCAAUAGUAAAUAACAUUAACACUCAACAAUAAACGUAAACCUCAACAAUAGCGGACACAGAGGAACUAAACAAACAGGGCUUUUAAACACCAGGAAAGUAAUCAGAGGAGUGGAAACAGGUGGGGAGUAAUCAAUUAACAAAAUGAGGAACAUGACCAAAUAGGGAUAACACAAAAGGAACAGAAAGUCCAUGACUGUGACAGUUCGCCCCCUCCCUGAAGGGUGCGUCCUCGCACCGAAAGAGAUAGUCCAGCGGAGGGAGGAGGAGGACCCAGAUGGAUUUCCAGAGGCCAGCCAGGAUAGCGGCCCAUGGUGGAGUCAAUGGUGGGAGGAGCCGACAACACCAGGGGGCCGACUGACGGAGACUGAGCCGAUGGAUGAGGAGCCCAAGAUGGAGCAGAGCAGCCGCAGAGCCAGGGUGAAGCCGAGGAUCCGGAGGGCCAAGGCGGAGCAGAAGGCUCAGGCGACCAAGGCGGAGGUGGGGCCCUGGAAGACCGCUGCGGAGCCGGAGUGACUGAGGAUGGAGGUGGAGUCGGAGGGAAGGAGGAGCCUGACAGAGCCGAAGGGAUGGAGUGAAGAGGCGAAGCCAGAGGAAUGGAGUCCCGAGGCGGUGGAUGGUCGACGACUGACCAAGGUGGAGCCGGAGGGACGAGGGAGCCCGGUGGAGCAGGUGGGAUGCCGGGCCACGAUCCAGGGCUCGGAGGCUAGAGGCGGAGACAGGGAAUGCACACGCCAAGGCGGAGCUGGAGACUGGAAGUCCUGCGGUGAACCAUCGCACCCAGAUGGCGCGGACUAAGGGUGAGGUGCGGGACUGACUGGCACCAGCGGAGAUGAGGUCGAGGAACUGGCUGGUAUAGGAGGAGAUGAGAGAGGAAGGAUGGGAGGAAACACAGGAGGGUCAGGGCAGGACGGAACCAGCAGAGAAACAGGAGGAUCAGGGCAGGACGGAACCAGCGGCGAAAUAGGAGGGUCAGGGCUGGGCGGAACCAGCGGAGAAACAGGAGGAUCAGGGCUGGGCGGAACCAGCGGAGAAACAGGAGGGUCAGGGCUGGACGGAACCAGCAGAAGAGGAGCAGAGGAACUGACAGGUCUGGGAGGCAGGAGAGGGAGGUUGGGAGGGAACACAGGAGGGUCAGGGCUGGACGGAACCAGCGGAGAAACAGGAGGAUCGGGAAUUGCCUCCCCAAACCAGUCUAUGGUGGCUGGCUGGUCUCUGGUUCGGGAGUGGGGCUGGAGAUAUCCUCCUCAGCAGGGCAGACGGUGAAUUAAGAUCCACAGUUCACAAGCACCCACUCCACAAAAGGAGCAAAAUCUUCUUUUGGGACCGAGAAAGUCCCUAGUAUGAUCCUGCAGCGAAUGGUCCAACUGCUUCAGGCACAAGAGCUGGACGGCUGGUAAAUCCAUUCCGGGAGAAGGAGAGGAAAAAGAAAUGAAACAAAACUAAAAAGAAAGAAAAACGCCACUUAACUAUACUCACUUUUGAGGGUCUGCUAUUCUGUCACGUGUGUGGUGUCCA
ensembl:lncRNA